UGGGGAAUAUUGCACAAUGGGCGCAAGCCUGAUGCAGCCAUGCCGCGUGUGUGAAGAAGGCCUUCGGGUUGUAAAGCACUUUCAGCGGGGAGGAAGGCGAUAAGGUUAAUAACCUUGUCGAUUGACGUUACCCGCAGAAGAAGCACCGGCUAACUCCGUGCCAGCAGCCGCGGUAAUACGGAGGGUGCAAGCGUUAAUCGGAAUUACUGGGCGUAAAGCGCACGCAGGCGGUCUGUCAAGUCGGAUGUGAACUCCCCGGGCACAACCUGGGAACUGCAUUCGGAAGUGGCAGGCUAGAGUCUUGUAGAGGGGGGUAGAAUUCCAGGUGUGGCGGUGAAAUGCGUAAAGAUCUGGAGAAAUACCGGUGGCGAAGGCGGCCCCCUGGACAAAGACUGACGCUCAGGUGCGAAAGCGUGGGGAGCAAACAGG
rnacentral:rRNA from 1 species